GCAUUGAUGGUGUAGUGGUAACAUUGGGUCUUCCCAUUGUAGGCGUGGCCUAGCGCCGGGUUCGAUUCCCGGUCAAUGCA